rnacentral:sRNA from 1 species
UUUGUCAUCCUUGCCGAGUGUAGCGAUGCCGCUCGGCGCUGC